UACGGAGGGUGCGAGCGUUGUCCGGAAUCAUUGGGCGUAAAGGGCGCGUAGGUGGCCCGGUCAGUCCGUGGUGAAAGCGCGGGGGCUCAACCCCGCGUCGGCCAUGGAUACUGCUGGGCUGGAGCACUGUAGAGGCAGGCGGAAUUCCGGGUGUAGCGGUGGAAUGCGUAGAUAUCUGGAGGAAUACCGGUGGCGAAGGCGGCAUCCUGGACCGGCAUUGGACGCUGAUGAGCGAAAGCUAGGGGAGCAAACGGGG
rnacentral:rRNA from 1 species